GGGGGGGGGGGGGGGGGGGCGGAGGACGUGGGGGGCGAGCGGCGAAGCCCGGAGGUUGUGGGGGGCGCGGGGGGCAGAGGGGGGAGGCGCAGGUGGGGCACCGGCCAUUGGAUGGGGGAUAACUUCCUGACACUGGGGAGGCUACCCGAUAGGAGAUCAGGCUGCUCUGGGCGGGUUGUAGAUGUUCGGCGGUUGUGGUUGGCCUAGCGGCUCAUCAGCUUGUGUGUGGGGUAGUGUCUUACCAGGGCUUUGGCGGGUAGCCGGCCUGAGAGGGUGACCGUCCAACUUGGGACUGAGAUACGGCCCAGACUCCUACGGGAGGCAGAAGUGGUGAAUAUUGCACAAUGGGCGGAAGCCUGAUGCAGCAACGCCGCGUGCGGGAUGACGGCCUUCGGGUUGUAAACCGCUUUCGCCUGUGACGAAGCGUGAGUGACGGUAAUGGGUAAAGAAGCACCGGCUAACUACGUG
rnacentral:rRNA from 1 species